UGGGUACCUGUUAUUUGUGCACUACUUUUUCUCAACAUGGCUGCCGAUUGAAAUCUCAGUUUGUCAACUUUCUAGAUUGGGUUAAGCAUGUUGCCACAGCUCUUCUCUUCACAUUUGAAUCCAUGGGUUAAGUUAAACUCAAGUGUGAAUCAUAGACCAGUGAGGCUUGAAACUGGAACUGGUCAUGUUAUUAAAAGAUUUUUGUUGCUUGCAUCUUCUGAACAGACCCCUCCAGGCCUCCACCAAGACAACUGCUUGUGCAGCGAAAUGAAGAGGGCAUUUGAUGAGAUUGUGGAGGUCUUUCUGGCCUACCUAUCAGCUGUAUGACAACCUUGAAAAAAAUCCAGCCUAGGCAGGGAUAAGCCUUCAGAUGAAUCAAGAAUUGUCAGUGAAACAGAGUUGUUAUUUUGGCACAUAACAACUUCGUUCACAGCUGCAACAUGGAAUGAAAAUCCAUGUUACAAGCUACAUGUGCUUUUGAAAGAACUUGUGCACAGAGUUAAUGAAGGAUAGCUGAAGUUGAUGAUUACACAUAAAUAGAAGAAGGGCUCAUGAACAAAAGACAGCAUGGAGAGCCCAGGGUGUGCUCUUGUGUUCAGUCCUUUAAAUAUGACGUGUGAAUUGUUAGUCAUGUAAAUUUAGCUUGCUGCCACUCUGAUGGCAAAGAUAAAUUGCUGAACAAUCAUACAUCCCAUUUUGCUCAAUCAUGAUUAAACUUUGUCAGAAUAUUUAUCACAACAAUAUGUUGACAUGAUUUGAAUCUGGAUUAUGUGCCUCCUUAAACUAGAUCACACAAUCAAAUCUUUGAAAUAAAAUUCUCAUUUAACAGGCCAUAUUUUGUAGGCUAGCUCCUUCUUGAUGAAUCUUGGUCAAACUUGAUGUUUACAGUGACAAUAUUUAGGUAAAGUUCCAAUGUGGGUCACAUGCAUAAAAAUUCUAGACCAAUUCUUAUAAAAACAAAAAGGCCAUGAUGGCCCUGAAUCGCUCACCUGUCUAACCUUGCUACAUCAACUUAAAUUCUAUCAGACCCAUAUACAAUCCCAAGAAAGAUUUCAUUAAUUAAUACAUUCUGACAAAAUGUCAUUAAGACAUGAUGAAAACUGUGACCUCUUUCAUCUACACAAGGUUUUACUAGAACUGGCCCGGUGACCUAAUUUUUGACCCCAGACGACCCAUAUACGAUCAAAAAUCAGAUAUUAUCAAGAUAAACAUUCUCGCCAUACUUCAUUAAGAUCAGAUGAAAACUAUGACCUCUAUUGUCUACACAAGGUUUUUCUAUGAUUUGACCUAGUGACCUAGUUUUUGACCACAGAUGACCCAAAUACAAUCCCAACCCAGAUUUCAUCAAGAUUAACAUUCUGGCCAAAUUUAAUUAAGUUUGGAUGAAAACUGUGACCUCUAUUGUCUACAAAAGUAGUUAUUUUAAUUUGACCUAGUGACCUAGUUUUUGACCCUAGAUGACCCAAAUUCAAUCCCAACACAGAUUUUAACAAGACAAAUAUUCUGACAAUAUUUAAUAAAGAUCUGAUGAAAACUGUGACCUCUAUUGUCUACAGCAGGGUUUUUCUAUGAUUUGACCUAGUGACCUGGUUUCUGACCCCAGAUGACCCAAAUACAAUCCAAAUCCAGAUUUUAUCAAGAUAAAUAUUCUGACCAAAAUCAUAAAGAUUGGAUGAAAACUGUGACCUCUAUUGUCUACAUAAGGUUUUUCUAAUAUUUGACCUAUUGACCUAGUUUUUGACCCCAGGUGACCCAAAUACAAUCCCAACCCAGAUUUCAUCAAGAUAAACAUUCUGAUCAAAUUUUAUUACGAUUGGAUGAAAACUGUGAGCUCUAUUGUCUACACAAGGUUUUUCUAUUAUUUGACCUAGUGACCUAGUUUUUGACCCCAGAUGACCCAAAUACAAUCCCAACCCAGAUUUCAUCAAGACAAACAUUCUGACCAAAUUUCAUAAAGAUUGGAUGAAAACUGUGACCUCUAUUGUCUAAACAAGGUUUUUCCAUUAUUUGACCUAGUGACCUAGUUUUUUACCUCAGAUGACCCAAAUACAAUCCCAACCCAGAUUUCAUCAAGAUAAACAUUCUGACCAAAUUUCAUAAAGAUUGGAUGAAAACUCCGACCUCUACUGUCUACACAAGGUUUUUCUAUUAUUUGACCUAGUGACCAAGUUUUUGACCUAGUGACCUAGUUUUUGACCCCAGAUGACCCAAAUACAAUCCCAACCCAGAUUUCAUCAAGAAAAACAUUCUGACCAAAUUUAAUAAAGAUUGGAUGAAAACUGUGACCUCUACUGUCUACACAAAAAAAUUGUUGACGGUUUUUCUAUUAUUUGACCUAGUGACCUUGUUUUUGACCUCAGAUGACCCAACUACAAUCCCAACCCAGAUUUCAUCAUGAUAAACAUUCUGGCCAAAUUUCAUAAAUAUUGGAUGAAAACGGAGACCUCUAUUGUCAACACAAGGUUUUUCUAUUAUUUGACCUAGUGACCUAGUUUUUUACCCCAGAUGACCCAAAUACAAUCCCAACCAAGAUUUUAUCAAGAUAAACAUUCUGACCAAAUUUCAUAAAGAUUGGAUGAAAACUGUUACCUCUACUGUGUUCACAAACAAAUUGUUGAAGGACGCACGCACAAACGGACGCCGGACAUCACACGGUCACAUAACUUCACCAUGUCACUUCAUGACAGGUGAGCUAAUAAUCAUAACACCCUAGAGGCCACAUUAAUGAAUCAAUAUUGAUUAAAUCCGGUCCAAAUAUUUAUCUUGACACUAUCUGGAGUUAGAAACUGGGUCGUGCAUGUCCAAAAACUUGGUCACCACGUAAAAUCUUAGAAAAAUCUUUGUACAACUUUUGAAGCCACAUUUACUUUGUAUGUUUUAUCUUGCCGAUUCCAAGGCCAUGCUUGAAAAAAUUUUAUGUGCUUAGGCUUUAGAAUCAUCAUGACCCUAUUGUUGAGAUGAAGAAUUGCAAUAAUGCAACUCUUUUACACAGAAAUUACCCUUUUUUAUGCCCUCCUUCGAAGAAGCGGGGGUAUAUUGCUUUGCUCAUGUCAGUCGGUCCGUCCACCAGGUGGUUGUCAGACGAUAACUCAAGAACGCUUGGGCCUAGGAUCAUGAAACUUCAUAGGUACAUUGAUCAUGACUUGCAGAUGACCCCUAUUGAUUUUGAGGUCACUAGGUCAAAGGUCAAGGUCACGGUGACCCGAAAUAGUAAAAUGGUUUUUGAAUAAUAACUCAAGAACGCAUACGCCUAGGAUCAUGAAACUUCAUGGGUAGAUUGAUCAUGACUCGCAGAUGACCCCUAUUGAUUUUGAGGUCACUAGGUCAAAGGUCAAGGUGACCCGAAAUAGUAAAAUGGUUUUCGGAUGAUAACUCAAGAACGCAUAUGCCUAGGAUCAUGAAACUUCACAGGUAGAUUGAUCAUGACUCGCAGAUGACGCCUAUUGAUUUUGAGGCCACAAGGUCAAAGGUCAAGGUCACGGUGACCCGAAAUAGUAAAAUGAUUUUCGGAUGAUAACUCAAGAACGCUUUUGCCUAAGAUCAUGACACUUCAUAGGUACAUUGAUUGUGACUCGCAGAUGACCCCUAUUGAUUUUCAGGUCACUAGGUCAAAGGUCAAGGUCACAGUGACAAAAAACGUAUCCACACAAUGGCUGCCACUACAACGGACAGCCCAUAUGGGGGGCAUGCAUGUUUUUACAAACAGCCCUUGUCAUGAAAUGAAUCAUCCAGUAAAUAGUAAGCAUGUGUUAAAUACAGAAAACAUUAGAAUAUGACCAAGUGGAAUGUGAUGAAAUACAAAGUGAAUAUUGUUUAUGUGGAUUAUCAUUAAAUAGUGGAAAAGUGGACUAUAACAAAUCAUAGAGUAAAAUUGGUGAUUGGUUAGUUUUAAGUGAAUGUGAAGAAAUACAAAGUGGCUUUGCUACUGCCAUUGGAUAAAUCCAUGAGGAGUUUGAAAAGUGUGUAAUAGUUAAUAAAUACUCGGUAUGUAUUAUCAGUACACAAUAUUGGAUACGUAACUAAACUAAUAAAUGGAA